GAAACUUGGGGGAGGGGUGCAAAACGGGGAGAGGAAUGAUGUAAGGAUUUAGCAGGAGAUAAAGCCAACCAGCCGUUUGAGUUUUCCGGAAUAGGUGCCUGGCAGAAACGACCCACCAUUUUGUGAGACUGUGCUUUCCAUACUAAUACCCUUGUGUAUAGGAACCCUGAGAGAUGAUUGAAGAAAUCCCUUCUCAUGGGGCUAUGAAUUAAGAUCAAAAAACAUUUGUCAUCUAUCUAGGAAAGAUGAAAAAUGAUCUACACAAACUGACAACUGGGAUCUUCAAACUAGGAAUAAUUGGAUAAAAGCCAAACUCAAAGGUGGGUCAUUACAGUAAAUGAGUAAAACUUCCGGAGAAGAAAGUAAGGAAGGGAAAGGAAGGAGG
rnacentral:sRNA from 1 species